UGCCGGCCGGUAGUUUGACACAGCCGUUCACACUGCGCGCCUGAACAGUCGCCAGGCUGAAUGAACUUUUUCGUUCGUACCAAUUCCCGCCAAGUUAUUCGUUUUUCAAAUUUCCUUUUCGAUCUGUGAUUUUUUUUUUAUGUGACCAACAUUUGUGUGAACGUGAGUUUUUAUCAGUGGUGUUGCUAAUUGGAAAAUUGGAUUGGAUAAACGGGGAUAAGCGGGAUUGGAUUUGACGAAUUGCUAUUGGAUUUGCGUUCCAUAUCCGCGAAAUUCGACAAAGUGGACUAAGCAGCAAAACUGCAAUAGUACAAUAGAUAUCUGUCAAAUCGGGUGUGCGACUUCGGCGAUAAUUAAGGACGGACAAGAAUUAGAAAUGAAGUAGUAAACUGCAUAAAAUGUUCAAUCAAAAAAUUAUGUAUUACGUUUUAAUAAUAUUUCCAUUGUUAAUAUGUAUCAUAUAAUGAAUACAAUUAUUAUGAGUUAGACAGAUGUAAAACAGCUGCAAUAGUGAAAUGUAUAGAGUAGAUAAGGAAUACAUUUAAAAUGUAAAUCUAUAAA